rnacentral:lncRNA from 1 species
GGAGACGUGAGCUCUCUGGCCUCCCAGAUUUUAACCUGUUUCUGUGUCUCUAUUUUUCAUUCUUAUCACCCCUUGGCCAGGUUCGAGCUCAGCUGGUGGGCUGGUUCCUGCCCUCCCAUCCCUCUGGUCUUGAGAAAGUAGCCCAGCUUGAGCAUUUUUCACGUGAUACGUUUGUGAGAGCGUGAAAAGGGUCACGCAGCCUUCUGUGGUGUCAGUUAAAGCAAGUCACUGGGCCAGCCUGGGUUCAAAGUGAUGGGAAACCUACUCUACUCUUGAGGGGAGAAGGGUACAAGCUCGCUGCGAAAAAAAAAAGGGGGCACGGUUAGGCUGAGUAAAAGAAGCCAGACAGGGCUGGGGAUUUGAUUUAGCUCAGUGGUUCUGUCUGCCCUGUAAGUGCAAGGACCCGGGUUCAAUCCCGGUACAAAAAAAAGCUAGCCACAAAAGAGUGCAUUGUUUGAUUAUAUGAAAUUCUAGAAAAGGCAAACUAAUAGAUAGUGGCGGAAAGUAAAUCACUGGUUGCUCAAGGCUGGAAAGAAGGGAUUGCUAGCAAAGGGGGAUGAGGGAAAUUGAGGGCGUAGUGGCUAUACCCCACACCUUGAGUGGUAAUAUAUACAGAGAUGUACACGUUUGUGAAAGUGCAUGAUUUUACAGUAAUUAGGUAAAUAUCUUAAAAAUAAGAUCGGAAAUGGGAAGGAUUGUUGAGACCAUCUUCAGAAAUAACCAUAUGUGAAAGCUUAGAUCUGAAAGGACAUUAGAAGAUCUUCUGGUCCAAUGUCCUACAAAUAAGGAAAGAGAGGCCCAGAGAGAGCAACUUGCCAACUUAGGGAGUCAGUAACAAAACUAGGAUUGGAAUCUAGACUAACCACAGCCUUGCUGUCAUUCCUCCCAAACCCUCUGAAAUCAGGGAAAGGACACCCUAGGCUCGCAUCAACAAGACUCCCCUACAUAUAAGAGCUGGGCCACACGAACUGUUAGUGUCCUUUUGCACUUUAUAAGCUUUUAGGGUUUUUGUCUGUUUUGUGAUGGGGCUCAAACUGAGGGUCUUCUACGUGCUAGUCAAAUGCUCUGCCACUGAGCUACAUCCCUAGCCCUUAGUGUGAAAAGUUAGGAGCAGAGACUGUUGUGCUCUGUUCCUCAUCCUGAGACACUAACUGCUCUGAGUUGGUGUGUCUAAUCCAGGUGACUGGAGCAGUGUUUAUAAAUAGAACACUGAGGGGCGGGGGGAAGAAGAGCAGCUAUGCCAUAGCCACCUGUUUUCCACAGUGCUAUUUUGAGUUUCUCAGGGCCUUGGCAGGAAAGGACAUGGAGGGCUAUGGAACUAUUGAGGCAUUAUUAAAUUUUACAAAGUUAAUAAACUUGUAAAGUGAGAAUUGUUGCCAGGUUUUAUAAAGUGCUUCAUAGAGUAGGUAGAAUUGAACUAAGAAAUAGUAUUGCAACCAAUAGUAAUACAGCAUGCAAAUGUAGCAUGUAGGGAAUUUUUAAAAAGUGAAGAGAGUCCACUUUUAACAUACUUUCUUUGCUCAAAAAAGCAAUUUGAACUUUAUCCAAGUGUCUCAGACAUUUAUCAGAUGUAUUCAACUUCUUUGGAUACCAAAGAACGUUUUAAAAACUACAAGAGAUGCCAGAAUGCUGUCAGCUGAAAUUAUUUGCUUGCUGGUACAUCAGAGAGUAAUACCCUGCUGGUCUGGGGCAAUUACCUAGAGAACAAUGGAUUUGAACUGAGAAUGGAAUCUGAACUUUUUUCUGCAGAAAGUCACAUGUGAAAAUUGAAUGAUUCAACGGGAUAAGGCAUCUCCUCGUAUUUGCAGAAUCAGAUUCUGCCCUCGUAUUUAUCGAUCACGGUCACGGUUGCUGGGGAAGGGGAAGCAGGAGGGGUGAGGAAAACGUGCCCAGGGGACUGAGGAAAUGAGGAUGAAGCGCCCUCCCAGGACAUCUUACCUACCAGAGGCUGCCGGGAUUGAACUCGGGUCCUUGAGCUUGUGAAGCAGGUGGCAGAACCACUGAGCUACAUCCCCAGCCCGCACCUGUUUUUCAAAGUGAUAUUCAGCACUUCUUUACCUACCAGCUAGGAAGCUGUAGUAUUUUAACAUUACCACCAGUUGUAGGUAAUCUUUAGGUGCAAAGCAAAUUUGGAAAAAUGGUUUCUAAGCACAAUCACCACCGACGCGUUGGCAAUAAGUAGAUGUUACAGUUUGUUCAUUUCCACAAAGUCCAAAGUCCUCUGCGCUAACAGUGAGUUUCCAGGUUGCUUAUCGGUGUGGUUAAACAGGUGUGAUACCAAUAUGGGCAGCACUUUGGAGAAUAAACAACUUCGUUGAAUGAGUUUGCAGAAUACUAGCUAUUUUGGAAGAACAUUUUUUAAAAAAAUCACAUCUUCAACUUAACAUGGCCUUUUAUUUUAAAAAAUUAUAAAUGUU